GCUCAAAAAAAGCCUGUGUGUUUGUUCCCUGGCAGGUUAUUUGCUUUCCAAAGUGGAAGAAAAAGUUGGCUCCCCAGAACGUCCCCUCUCAGAUCUGGGGCUCAUAAGCUAUCGCAGUUACUGGAAAGAAGUGCUUCUUCGUUACCUGCAUAAUUUCCAAGGCAAAGAGAUUUCUAUCAAAGAAAUUAGCCAGGAGACAGCUGUGAAUCCUGUGGACAUUGUCAGCACUCUGCAAGCCCUUCAGAUGCUCAAGUAUUGGAAAGGAAAACACCUAGUUUUAAA